rnacentral:tRNA from 1 species
GGGGAUAUAGCUCAGUGGUAAAAGCACACGCUUAGCAUAUAUGAGGUCCUGGGUUCAGUCCCCAGUACCUCCA